rnacentral:misc_RNA from 1 species
UGCACCUAGAUUCUGCUCCUUGGCAAUUUUCAUCACCAACUAAUUUCAUUAGUGAGUGUCUGAGUGGCCUUCCCCCUGUUUAUGUUAGUCAUAUUCCACGGGAAGCUAAGUCUAUCGUCGAUGUGUUGGCCAAGCGGGGUUAAAUCACAGUGAAAAUUUUGUUGCCGUGUUUUGAUUGUCCUUGUGCUACAAUUUUGGUGUUGUUGGUCUGCUG